GACGAACCGUGCGAACGUUGUUCGGAUUCACUGGGCUUAAAGGGCGCGUAGGCGGUCGACCAAGUCUGGGGUGAAAUCUUUCGGCUUAACCGGAAAAGUGCCCCCGAUACUGGCCGGCUAGAGGGAGAUAGGGGCAUGUGGAACUUCCGGUGGAGCGGUGAAAUGCGUAGAUAUCGUAAGGAAGACCAGUGGCGAAGGCGGGUCUCUGGACAGUUCCUGACGCUGAGGCACGAAGGCCAGGGGAGCAAACGGG
rnacentral:rRNA from 1 species